UUCAUCUUCACGUCUUUCUGGGCAUAUAAGAUCUAUUAUGUCUAUGGCUUCAUGAUGCUGGUGCUGGUUAUCCUGUGCAUUGUGACUGUCUGUGUGACUAUUGUGUGCACAUAUUUUCUACUAAAUGCAGAAGAUUACAGGUGUGCCAUUAAUUCAAAAGAGAUUUAUCUUCUUUCCCCCUCCCCCCACCAGGCAAUGGACAAGUUUUCUCUCUGCUGCAUCAACUGCAAUCUAUGUUUACAUGUAUUCCUUUUACUACUAUUUUUUCAAAACAAAGAUGUAUGGCUUAUUUCAAACAUCAUUUUACUUUGGAUAUAUGGCGGUAUUUAGCACAGCCUUGGGGAUAAUGUGUGGAGCGAUUGGUUACAUGGGAACAAGUGCCUUUGUCCGAAAAAUCUAUACUAAUG
rnacentral:sRNA from 1 species